UGCUUGGGAUUCCUCCGUUCUAAAUGCAGGACUCUGCACCCGUCCUUGUUUCUUUUGGCUCAACCCUCCAAUGCCGCACUUAAGGUGAAAGAAUCCCAUGCACUGCUAUGGGCUGAGGACUGGCUAAGCAGCAGCUCUGCAGAAAAAGUCUAGAUCACUCUGGACCCUAUCCCUCCGUUUGGUGCAUCUACCUCUCCCCAGCUGUGUGUCCCUGUCACAAUCCAGAAAGUGGAGCCAGGCAGUGGGGAAAACCCUCCUCCAUCGGCUGCAGCUCCCUGGCACAUGCUGGCAGAAAGAGAGAAUGGAAAAACUCAGCUUUUCCUUCGGCCUAUUUGCUCCUUCCUUUAAAAACCACUCAAAGCAAGGAAAGCUGCCAGAAGACACAUUAGGGCUGUAAGAGAAGAAGGCUGCAAGCAAGGAGCUGUCAGUCAAGGGGAAGAAUAAACAGAGGGUAUUGGUUUUAUUCCAGUCACCACAGCAGUCAGAGACACCGGCUCAGUAGGAUCCCCUCCCACCCAGAGAAUGGACACGAACAACAAAUAAAGGCACAGAGAGAAACAGCCCCAGGAAUGGAUCCCAGGAGGCUCUGAGAUGGAUCUGGCCCCAGUGAGGAGUCUGGUCACCGCAUGCAGGGGAGGAGAUUCCCGGGAGGAGAGGUAGGAGGCCCAGGAGGGCAUCCCUGCAUUCCAUGCCCUUGGCAUGGUGCAGGCACAAUGAAACCUAAGCAGCACAUCACACGGAAGCCUCUGACACGACCAUUCCAGGAGCUGGCCUACAGCACAGUCAGACACAUAAUCUGGUGCGAGUAGGCUGCCUUCCAGCUCACGGCAUCCUCGAGCACUUUACAAACAUGAAAGGCGUGGAAACCCUGCGCUGACCAGGCCAGACCCACAGCAGACAUUUGCCCUGCCACUGACAGGCAGCCCUGCCAGGGGUGGGACAUGGCAGCAGGCUAGCAGGACCCACGAGGUUAGCGAGAGUCUUCUCUCAUACCCACAGUAGGUGCUGGCAAGGGAGGAGCUGAAGAGAAGCUAACACACCUGCACCCAAAGCGCAGUGUUGUGCCCACUGGGGACGAGAAGCACUGAAGGGGAAGUUGACUUCAUUAUUAGAUUCCCUCUCCACGUCAGGACAGCGGCCUGCAGUACUGGGCCCAGCCACCUCUGCAGGGAGACAUCCCGUCCACUGGUGGCUCUAAGGAGGUAGGAAGAGCUGAGACAGCUAGGUGAUGUGCAGGAGUAAGAGUACCCAGCUUCUCGCCAGGGAGUGGCUAAGGACAGACGGGCUUGGUUAGUGCCUUAAGCCCUUGAGCACCCUGUGUGGUCCGUGGGUCAGUCAGUCUGCUCACAGUGCUGUGCAAGUCACUGCUCUGUUUCUGACUCCCCGUUCCCAGACUGCUCUCGGAUCCUGCAUGCCGCACAACGCCCCCUCCCCAGAGCCCAUUGCUGCCUACCCACCCUGUCCAAGAAUGGCCCCCCGCUGCAAGCACAGAGACAGUCCCUCUCCGGGGGAGCAGACAGCCUAACGAAAGCAGAGCCAGAACUACCAGAGCCUAAGUGACAGUUGCAGCAGGGGAGGGAGAACAGAGAUUAAGGGAGACCCUUCAAUUGCCAAAACUGGCUGAAGAAGCUUCCUAUCUUGUGUCCUUCUGAAACCCCUGGAGGGUAGCCCUGGAAGGGCACAUUGCAGCUCUCCACAGUUUUCCUCUGCAGGAAGGGCAGGGCCACUAAAACCAAUCUCAGCCAUCAGCUUGGUUUUGAAAGCUGGGUACGCUGUACAGCAGUCCCGGGAUCCUUGCACAGAGAACUCAGGAGUGGCCGCGGCAGAGCAGGGCAUUGCACCGCUCACUUGUACCAAGUUUGUCACAAUGGAUAUGGGUCUUUGAAUGUUACCGUACAACAGCAGUUCUCACUGUAGGUUUUAAGGAAAGAAGAGUCUCACGGAUUUUGAGGGCUGGAAGAGCCAGUCAAAGCUCCAUCUCUUCCCAGCAUCUUUGAUCUUAUGAAGGGAGAUGGUCCACGCAAAAGGACCUAAGGAAAAGCAGCUCCUCUGGCCUCAGCUUAGCUGUGCACAGUCCUGCCCUUGACUCUGGGAUUCCCAGCAGGGCUGAGCUUUGCAGCCAGUGUUAGAUGGGCUGUUAGGCGAAUGUUCUCCUCUAUCUUCUCCCUCCUAUGAAGCAUGCCGGGCUCUCUCCUUCCAGGCUUGCCCCAUGGAGGCAAUUCUCCUUGUCAGGGAGCUGGAAAGUCUUUUGCAGGUUAUUUGGCCCUCGAGAGCUGGUGCGGAGGGGAGAACUGAUCUAUCAACACAGCUGGAAAUGUAGCAGCACUGGUUUCACAUCACCCAGUUCAUUACAGCAGGAGAUGCUUUCUAUUCAUAACCAGGAGAAAAUUGCAUUGUGAAGAGAAGCUAUUCUGUUCCUGGGGUUCAUUAUCAGGGAUCCGGACAGUGCCAACAGAAAGCUCCCUGGGCAUCCUCCAGGAAGCACCGGCAGCCAUGACCCCAUCAGACAUCACAAGUGGAGCAAGGUCUGGCAGUUCUCAGAGGAGCAGCAUUCAAGGAACCCUUGGAUGCUCCGGUUGGAGCAGACACCCAGGGCAGGAUCUGAAAUGUGCUGACACUUCUCCCGCCACUUUCCUCUCUGGUAAAGCCACAGAUUACACCUGCAACCAGUAUACGCUGACCCAAUGCCUCUUUCCUGGAACUAACAAGGAAAAUAAAAGUAUAAAGCAGUAUGCCUGGUGGUGUAAUGCUGUUUGUUGUAUUCAUUUCACUAUCUAGCUUAUUGCAUUUGGUUUGGCUUUACAUUUUUCUUGAAAAAUUAACAGAAAAGUUUUUUUAAACUGUCCAGACUUGGCACAUGUAUUUCCACAGCAGUCCAGUUUAUGAAAAGUCAGAUCAAAUAAAAUGAGUACCAGUGUCUCUGUUACCCUCCAGCCACACGCGCUGUGGUGGGUUUACAGAUCUGGCGGUUAACCUCCAAAUGGUCUGGGGCUCUGAGAACACCAGGAAUUCAAGAUUUGCCACAUCACAGUAAAACGUCCUGGUCUUACCGUGAUCUGAAUAUGCUGUAACUCUGGUUCUGGUCAUACGCAUUUUUAAAAAUCACAUUUCAAUUGAUGUGCAUCUGCAGGCACUGCUAAUGGGCAAAGGACUCUAGGUAGAUUUUAGAAGUGCUGGCACAUCCCACUAACCCCAAGUUUCUAGCUCUACACUGAGGAGGAUUCUCUACUCCACCCCCAAACAAUUUAUAUAUCCGUGCCCUAGAAAAAUAUCUGAGUAAAGCCAUUAGGAAUAUUUCUGACAGCUGCUGGCAGGGGCACAAGCCCUCUGACAGCAUCUAAGAGUCUGUCCACACUGCCACUAGACCUCUGCAGCUGGCCAGUGCCACCUGACUUAGGCGACGGGCUCCGACUAAAAGGCUGUGGAUUAGUAGUGUAGAUAUUUGGGUUUGGGCUGCAGCCUGGACUCUGGGACUCUCCCACCUCCCAGAGUCUUAGAGCCUGUUCUAAGUUUAACCCAACUGCUCUGGAUCCCCACAAACACUGAGAGCGCUAAGGGGAGUUUGCCCCAUGACCACAUGGCAGUGUGGAAUUGUCUCUGAAGGAGUAUUUCCAUCCCCUGAACUCUGAUUACUGAGAAACUCUGUCACAACAAACUGCCUUAGGAAUGAAUGCCCUGGGCUGUUCUCCUAAGGACCUGACCACUUCUGGUUUGGCCAUGCUGGUGGGUUGUGUAAGAGUGGGAAGAAUAUUCAGACACUGAUGACAAGCCUGUGGUUAAAUGUUUAUUCCUCUUCUCAGGGUUUGCCUGCUAAGGAGAUGCCAUAAUGGCUCAUUCCUUGCAUUCUAGUCUCUGUAGAUGUAAUGUGCAUUGCAGGGACUUCCAGAAACAGCAAAAAACAGUUGCUUUGAGUCUGCCAGUCUGACUUCAGGGAAACAGCUCUUCCUCCCAGAUCUAUAUAUUUUUGCUCCGAGCAAAGGGGUUUCUAGAUAUUACACUUUCCCUUUAAGUGCACAUCUCCGGUGCCUUGAGGCAAGGCUUGUAGCUGUUCCCUGUAGUCAAACGUAAAGUCCAAGUUGGCCUUUUGGGUUUAUUAACAGUUGCUUGGAUGUUUCUUUGCUGACUCACUCCACAUGGGGCUCAGCAGGCAUGGACACCACCACUCUUCUGGAAAAGUCCUGGCUGGGUUAAACAGCGUUUGCUUGGUCACAGGGGAAGUCUCUCCCUUUCCAGCCACAGACUGGACGUGCAAUGUAAUGCUGGCUCCAUUUGCUACAGGCAACUCAACUGAGUAGCAAAGUGCAGAUGUUCAGCUGAGCCCCCGUGUAAAGACCAGGCAUGAUCAAAUAGGAAACCCGAUUGCUAGGAGAUAAGAAAGGUGUCUACUUGUAAAGAAAAGCCUCUAGUGCAGAGGUUCACACAGCGUGGUCCGCAACCCUCUUGCACAGAGAUGGGCAACAAUUUUUUGCCGGGGGCCACUUGGGAAAUUUUUGAAGUGGGCCCAGACUGCACAGGAAGAGAUGGGGCAUCGAGUGGAAGGGGCGGGGCCAAUGUGUUUCCAGGUUCCCCACCCCCAGAUAAUGAUUGGUCUUGAGGCGAGGGAGUGCCUUUGUCCCCACCCCAUGUUUCCCCAAGGUGCCGAGGCCCUUGGCGUGGGAGGAGACUGCCCUUGCUCCCCUGCCCCUAGGCCAAUUAGGACCUGGGGGCGAGAGAGCACGCGAAGCCUUCUACACUCUGCCCCCACCCUUCCAAGAGCACACGGUGCUAUGAAGCUUCCCCACCCCCAGGCCCUAAUUGGCCUGGGAGGAUGAGAGCAGCAGAGCCUCCGUGGGCCGGAUCCACCCACUUGGUUGCCUGGAUCCAGCCCACAAGAGGCCCUUUUGUCCACAGGUGGCUCUUGCAGGUGGGCCGGGGGCUCAGGAUUCGGCCUGCCAUCGCAGCAGGGAGUCCGCGCUGGCCCUCCAGCCCCUCACCCCACUGUGCGGUUGGAGUUCCAACACCGGCUUCCAGCUACAGGGGGGGAAGGGAGGCAAGGGAGCCUCGUGGGCACAGGAGCAGGAUGCGGCCCCAUGCACUGCUGAGGCUCGCCAGGAGGCUUUCCCCGCUGCUCCCGUUGGCUAGAAUCCCAGAGGGGGGUAGUGACUGGCAGCGGU